rnacentral:rRNA from 1 species
UGGGGAAUUUUGGACAAUGGACGCAAGUCUGAUCCAGCCAUGCCGCGUGCGGGAAGAAGGCCUUCGGGUUGUAAACCGCUUUUGUAAGGGAAGAAACGAGUUUCUCUAAUACAGAGACUUAAUGACGGUACCUGAAGAAUAAGCACCGGCUAACUACGUGCCAGCAGCCGCGGUAAUACGUAGGGUGCAAGCGUUAAUCGGAAUUACUGGGCGUAGAGCGUGCGCAGGCGGUUAUGCAAGACAGAGGUGAAAUCCCCGGGCUCAACCUGGGAACUGCCUUUGUGACUGCAUAGCUAGAGUACGGUAGAGGGGGAUGGAAUUCCGCGUGUAGCAGUGAAAUGCGUAGAUAUGCGGAGGAACACCGAUGGCGAAGGCAAUCCCCUGGACCUGUACUGACGCUCAUGCACGAAAGCGUGGGGAGCAAACA